rnacentral:lncRNA from 1 species
UUAAUUCCCUUCAUUUUCCUCACACCAACUAUCAUCUCUCUUUUUCUGCAAUUCUCUCUACUAAAGCUCUCUCUAUAUUACUUUUUUUCUGCAUUUAUCUAUAUUAAAGUUCUCUCUCUCUCUAUUACCCUCUUUCUAUUAGCAUUCCCUAUACUCUCUCUUUAUUACUCUCUGCAUUCUUUCUACUACUCUUCUUCCUUUUUUCAUUUUUCAUCCACACUACAAAAUGGCUUCCUUCGGUUCCGGCACUGGUCGUGG